CUAGAAAGGCACCCGCCCCACCCAAGCCCAGUGGACAGAUGCCCCAGGCUGCACAUUCUGUCAGUGCUGUUCUCCAAGAGGCCCAGACACGUGCUGAAACAUGGAAGAACUCACAUAUGUAUCUCAUUUGAUCUCAUCACAACCUGGGACACAGGUUAUAAAUAGAGACCACAGAGCUCAUUUUAUACCGGGUGAACCAGCCAGCUUCCAUGCAGUUGAGAAAAGGAUAACAAGCCAGCCCUUGAGAACCACCAGGAGACGGGAGCACCUCAGGCCCCACAGGCCACCAAGUUCAGCUGUCCCCGUUCCCUUCUGGUGUCAGACACCAGCAGCAGUCCCACCGAGUCCCCCAAGGUGGCUUCCCUGCACCACCUGAUGACUUCCUGCUGCUGCAGCCACCACCACUGCCCCUGGACGAUCAGGAGCUCCCCACUCCACUAGGUCAUCCCCUCCCCGUGGUAGCCAAGAGGCCUCCUAUGCCCCACAAGAGGCAGGAAGCAUCCAUGUUCAGAAGCAGCAGAUGAAUAAAAUAAAUGAAUAAAAGUUAAAUGUUCUUCCUG